rnacentral:tRNA from 1 species
UGCGAGAUCGUCUAAUGGUAGGACGCGACCCUCUGGAGGUCGUUAUCUAGGUUCGAGUCCUAGUCUCGCAGCCA